UACGUAGGGGUGCGAGCGUUGUCCGGAAUUACUGGGCGUAAAGAGCUCGUAGGUGGUUUGUCGCGUUGUUCGUGAAAACCUGAGGCUUAACCUUGGGCGUGCGGGCGAUACGGGCAGACUGGAGUACUGCAGGGGAGACUGGAAUUCCUGGUGUAGCGGUGGAAUGCGCAGAUAUCAGGAGGAACACCGAUGGCGAAGGCAGGUCUCUGGGCAUUAACUGACGCUGAGGAGCGAAAGCAUGGGGAGCGAACAGG
rnacentral:rRNA from 1 species